CCGGGCCCCAGCCGCCGCGCGCCCUAGCGCCUCCGCGCCAGCCUUGCGCGCCCUCGCCCGCUUCCCGCAGCCCCCGGCCCGCGCCCCUCGGGGUCCCGCGGCGGAACCGCGCGGGAUGUGACCCUUUCCCCGUGCCCCCCGGGGCCCCGCCUUAGCCUGCUUUUGGGAGGGGGGGCGGGUGGGGAGGGGCGCGCGGAUCAUGGCAUUGGAGUUCCCGGGCUUGCAGCCGCCGCCGCCACCUCUUCCACGCAGCCCGAGCGCCCCUUCUUCCCCGAGCAGCAGCGGAGAAGGCGAAGCGGCCGGCGGGGGCGAGGCAGAUGGGGCUCAAGGCGCGCAGGCCGGCGGGGGCGGCUGGCGGCGGCGGCGACGGGGGCGGCGGAGGCGGCGGGGCAGCUAACCCGGCCGGAGGGGACGCGGCGGCGGCCGGCGACGAGGAGCGGAAAGUGGGGCUAGCGCCGGGCGACGUGGAGCAAGUCACCUUGGCGCUGGGAGCCGGAGCUGACAAAGACGGGACCCUGCUGCUGGAGGGCGGCGGCCGCGACGAGGGGCAGCGGAGGACCCCGCAGGGCAUCGGGCUCCUGGCCAAGACGCCCCUGAGCCGCCCAGUCAAGAGGAACAACGCCAAGUACAGACGCAUCCAAACUUUGAUCUACGACGCCCUCGAGAGACCGCGGGGCUGGGCGCUGCUCUACCACGCGCUCGUAGUGAAGAAGCCGAGGGGUGGACACAGCAACCCACAGCAUCAGAUCUCUGGGAAGCCAUGAGACUGUAUGCUGGGAACAACAAGGACCACAGGUACACCAGGUUCGCUUUCUAGGAAACAGGCUAACAUCAAGUGUCUGUUCAUGCUUGAAGAGAAGGUGCCCAGUAUCUCCCUUUCAUAAAUCAAUGGCAGAUGCUCAGAAGUUAUGUGACUUACCCAGGAUCUUGAAACUAAGGUGGAGCAGUUGGGAUCACACAGGAGUCCUCCACCCACUAGGUGGCGCUCUAUUCACCAUGUUAUGAUUCUCCUCAAUGGAAGGAAGGCGGUGCACCAGAAGAGUAAUAGAAAGGUAUCGACACUCUCCGUUUCAGAGUGAGGCACUUUAGAGCUGCAUUUCUGGAAAGUUCCCAGGGAAAACCAGUGCAGCUGGUCUGUAGCCCACACUGAGUAACAAGGCUUCUCAGACUUUGAUAUAAGUGUGCAUCAACUAGGCAUGAAGGUGGGUGGUGGUGGUUUAGUCGCGAAGUCGUGUCCGAUUCUUGCGACCCCAUGGACUGUAACCCACCAGGCUCCUCUGUCCGUGGAAUUUCCCAGGCAAGAAUACUGGAGUGGGUUGCCAUUUCCUUAUACAGGGGACCGUAAGAGAGAUCUGGCAGAUUCCACCUGAACCAAAACCAUCCAACUUGUAUGUAAUGAGGGCAACUGACCCUACCUUUCUCCUGAAUAAUUCAGUGGAAAUUUACGACAUACCUGCAGUCAUGCCUAAACUGACCUGAAACUAAUCAUGAAGAAAUAACAGACAAAGUCAAAUGGUGGGACACCCUGCAAGAUAUCUGGCAUGGUCUCUUCCAAAGGGUCUGUAUCAUGAGAACAAACAAAAAUGAGGAAAACGUUCUGUUUAAGGAGACUGAACGCACAUGACAGCCAGGUGCAAUGCUUGACAGUCAACAAGUGGACUACAUCAGACUUCAGCACCGCAAAGGAAGAGAUCAACCAAAUGAAAAGGCAACUAUGAUAAUGGAGAAAAUAUUUGCAACCAUGUAUUUGAUAAGGAUAAAAUCCAAAAUAUAUAAAGAAUUCAUACAACUCUGUAGCAAGAAAGCAAAUACUCUGAUUUUAGAAAUGGGCAGAGAAUCUGAAUAGAUAUUUUUCCAAGAAGAUAUACAGAUGGCACAUGAAAAGGUGCUCAGCAUCACUGAGCAUCAGGGGAAUGCAAAUUAAAAAUGCAGUGAGAUACCACCUCACACCUGUCAGAAUGGUUAUCAUCAAAAAGACAAGAAAUAGAAGGUGUUGGUGAGGAUGUGGAGAAAAGGGAUCCCUUAUGCACUGUCGGUGGGAAUGUAAACUGGUGCAGCCACUAUGGAGAACAGCAUGGAGAUUCCUCAACAACUUAAAAAUAGAGCUACCAUAUGCUCCAGAAAUCCCACUUCUGGAUAUAUAUAUCCAAAGGAGAUGAAAUCAGUAUCUUGAAGAGCUAUUUGCAGUCCCAUGUUCUUGCAGUAUUAUUUACAAUAGGCAAGAUACGGAAGCAACUUGAGUGCCCAUUGAUGGAUGAAUGGAUAAAGAAAAUGUGAUAUAUACAUGAGAUGGAAUAUUUUCCAGCCAUAAAAAGAAGGAAAUCUUGCUAUUUGUAGCAACAUGGAUGAAUCAUGAGGGCAUUACGCUAAGAGACAUACGUCAGAGACAAGUACUGUAUUAUCUCACUUAUAAAUGCAAUAUGAGAGACAGCAAAAGGACACAGAUGUAUAGAACAGUCUUUUGGACUCUGUGG
rnacentral:lncRNA from 1 species